AUAGUAGUGUCAGAGUUUGAUCCUGGCUCAGGACGAACGCUGGCGGCGUGCCUAACACAUGCAAGUCGAACGAAGAGAAUUGAGAGCUUGCUCUUGAAGAUCUUAGUGGCGAACGGGUGAGUAACGCGUAAACAACCUGCCUUCGGGAUGGGGACAACAGACGGAAACGACUGCUAAUACCCAAUGAACUAACCGAGCGAGUGCAAGGAAGAGAAAAGGUGGCCUCUCGAAGAAGCUACCGCCGGAAGAGGGGUUUGCGUCUGAUUAGUUAGUUGGUGGGGUAACGGCCUACCAAGACGAUGAUCAGUAGCCGGUCUGAGAGGAUGAACGGCCACACUGGAACUGAGACACGGUCCAG
rnacentral:rRNA from 1 species